CCCAGAGCAGCUGGGACCAGGAUGGCCUCAACAUUGCUGUCUUGGCCAGUGUGUCAGGACUCCAGACUGCGGUUUCUAAAGGGAACUAGCAGCAAUGAUAGUGGCAGUCUUGCUAUUCCCCAAACGCUGCUACUUCCUCUUUCUUGGCUGACUGGGAACAAGCUGAGACCCAGAAGGAUAGUCACUCUGGACACCACAGUGUCAGAGCCACGGGACCGAAAGAAGUGCCUCAGAGAGAAACUGUGAAGCAGGGCUGACUUCUGGUGCCUGGAAUCUGCACAGGCUCCUGGGACUCCUCAUCUCUGUUGGGGCUGGUUACUCCUCUGAGCCACCUUAUGGAAUCCCACCCUGACCCGGUCACAGCUCAGCCUGCCUCCCUCGCCCACUUGCUCAGCAUUUUGUGUCUAUCUGGACUGAAGCCUUUGCUUUCUCUCUGUGAUUGUGGUCUACUUCUAGGAGGGCCAUCCAGAUGAACCACUUCUCCAUUUCACUGACAGGAAGACUGAGAACCGUACUCAAAAGGGGAGUAUUUUAAUUAAGCUGGAGAGUGGGGAACACUGAUGAGGAAAGCAAGCUGAUUGACUGAAGGCCCUGGCUGUCACUGCCAGCACAGGCACUUGAGCCUUCUUAUCAAGGGUUCUGAUGGGAGUUUCCACUAGGAUUGCAAGUAUUGAUCAUCUAGUAGCAGAGUUCUGAUGAGCUGGACUUUGGGUGGUUGGGGUAGGGAGCAGUGGAAAGGGGAAUUAGAAUCAUAUCAUCCUGUUUAACAUCAGUUUCUUCCCCUCUCUUCUAUAAAAAUGUCAAUAGCAAUACCUGCCUGGCAGAGUCGUGAGAAUUAAAUGAGAUAAUGAAUACUCCUGCUCUCAGCACCAUGCCACAUCUGUGGCAGUCCUCAGAGAGGAGAAUCACAGCUUCCAUUCAUUGAGAGCUCAGUAUGUGCCGGGUGUCCGCAGCUCUUGUGCAGACACAGACAUUCUCUUUCUUUGGAUGUAAAUGUGGCAUUGGCAGAGCAGGAAGAGCUAUGAGGCUGGCUGAGCUGAACCAGAGGGAUUGUCUACGUCUUAUACGGCAUUCAGGACUAUGGAGGAGCCACAAAAAGAAACAGAAACAGAACCCAAGUAUCCUUGGGGAACUGUUGGACUUUUCUCCCCUUGAUCUUGGACAUGCCUCAGUAGAGAUGCUGGUUUCUACCCAGACCCAUUCCUGGGGAAGGAACCCCAGCCAAGCAAGGGAAAGCCCAGACUCAGUGACAUGAAUUAUAGGUUUAAGACAGAUGCCUUCCCAUGAAGAUUUUUCUGGCCAGUAGCCUAUAUAAGAGAAAUUUGCUCAUUGUAUUUCUAUUUGGCCAAGGGAGGGGUCUGGAGGGGCUUUCAGCAACCCAAAUGGGCUUGUCAGCCCUAACCCUGGACCUAAGGAAAAUAGUUAUAAACCCUCAAGAUCUACUUAAAAGUGUCAUGACUGUAGAUAAACAAAGAAGAAUGGAUGCCUUUUCCUACUCCGCCUCACUGCAGAGACUUCAUCCGUCCCAGGGUCACCCACCACAGACUGGAUGAACUGGGAUUGGUCUUGGAGAGUGAAGUUCUCAGGAGCCAGGAGACUCCUGUAUUCUCUGUACUCCUUCUCCGCAAAAGGAAUGUCUAGAACCCCUGUUGGAAGUAGUCAUUGCCUGCAUUUCCUAGGCAGAAUGUCUAUUAGCUCCCUCCUCAGAAGAACUUGGGCUAAGGUGUUCCGGUCUGCAUCCAGAAAGAAUCUCUCCUGCAAAGAACUCUACACUCUCUAAGAGGAGAUAAUGUGAGGGCACAUUCUCCUUUCUUAGAGGAUGUUUUCAAUCCUAAACUCUAUCUCUGAAGUGAAUGAGAACCCAAUGGGGGAUGGUGCCCCAGUUUUCCCCAAGUUUCAAGUAAAACAAAAGCAAAACUAACCUGCAGUUUUGAAGGUGGGCUCCUUCAUUCCCCUACCCCCACUUUUUAAAACAUUUUUUUUUUCUUAAGGUUUCUUUUAUCUUUCGGCUUUUUGCAUACUCAGAAAUCAAAGAGCUCAAAGCUUCUCAGCUCAGCUGAGAACUCAGCACUUCUUGGACUGAUAAAUAGAGCAGCUUUAAAAUGCUUAGAAGUGAAGACAGACCAACUGUGGCGAGAGAAAGUAAACACAUCCAUGCACCAGCCAACCCUAGCAAGCUCCUCACUGAGAUUACAAACUGCAGUUCCUGCCUGAGCUGGCAAGGAUGCUGGAGCAGGCUGGGGGACCAGAACCACAAAGCAGCCUCCUCUGCUUCAGCUAGUUGUGCCCCAGAGGAGGCGGGUCCUCAGAGAGUCUUCCUGGGGUCUGGUUUGGAUGUUCCUAAGCAUAGCAGACUUUGCCAGUGUGUCCCUCAUUCGUUUCACAUUUGGAAAUGUACCAAGAGAAGCAGGAACGAGCUUCAUUCUUUCUGAUCUAGAAGGGACUCCUUUCCUUUGCAUUCAAGCUCUCUGUGUACAGGUGAAACUUGACAGUGAGAGACUUGGAAUUUUUCACAAAAUAGAAUGUGGUAACGACACAAUUUAAUAUGAAUAUUUGAGGAACUUUAUCUGUGGAUAAUACAUACUUUAAACAUCCCCCUCCCCAAGUCACACACACAAAUUGUUUUUAUGAGAACCAAUUAAUAAAUGCUAAUUCAUUCAGGCAUAUCUUCACUAAAUUACUGUUUCAUUUAAUUGCAGGGGAAUUUUCCAUUACUAAACUCUCCCUUGCUGAUUUUUUUUUUGCAUUAUUUAUAUAUUCUUUCAAUUUCACUAAUAGUGAGGUUGGUAUGUGAUAUUAUCUGAUGUUUGUACGUCUUAAAUUUCUUUUUCAUUUAAAAUAUUUCCUCAUUCUUGCAGCUCCACAUAAUCUGGGAGAAACAUCAUUAAAAGCAGGCAAGAUUUUAUACAUAAAUGAUUGAAAAAGGCACUGGCUGAAAUUAACCUGACAGGAACGCGUCUUGUGUGAUUGUUUUUUCUUGUCCCAGGCAUGCGUGUGUGUGCGCAUGUGUGUCUACUUUGGAUUAAUGUGGGAAUGCUUUCCUAUAUCAGUAAGUCGCAAGUCGAUCUAUUAAAAGAUUGUGCAUACAAAAUAGAGAUGAAGAUCACCGGGGCUUUAAUAAUAAAAUGAACACAAACAACACUCGAAAUCUCUUUCUAAAACCCAGAGCACAAUGUGCGUUUUCUUGCUUCCUUUUCAUGGACCCCAAAUAAAGACUUUGACAAUCAGAUAUCCAAAAUCCUAAUCAGCCAGCUCCCUAAAAUUCUGCCUCUUUUGUACGUGUAGAAAAGUGGGGGUGUCCCAUGGUGGUUAGGAGUUGCUUAGAGACUGUGGUAGAGAUUCGGUGUUGACAAAAGUGUGUUUUGAAAGCAGGAUUUUGAUUUUCUUAUAUUGAAUGGCAAAGGUUCCAUCACCGGCUAUCUUCAUUUCUGAAAUAAAUGCUUCAUUUCAUUAUCUCCAGCUACCUUCUCCCUCUCUUUCCUCUCCACCCCCAUCGCCUCCUUUCAAUGUCUUUCUUUUUCUCUUUAUUCUUUUACCCUUUUCUCUCUCACAGCAAAAUGUUCUGGAGGAUGUGAAUGAUUAAACUGUUUACUCCAAGGUUUAGGUAUGAAAAGGCAUGUCACUGUAAGUAAAGUUUCACCUUUAUACCCAAGUCCAUCAAUAAUUACAGAACAAGGAUGACUAUUCUUAAAUCUUUCUUACAAUUGGCUUUUACAAAAAUGAUUUUAUUUUUUCUGGGCAUACCAAGUUCGACAGAUUUUACUUCUCACUGAAAAUUAUUUACACAGCAGAGGAAUAAAUACCUCCAAAAUAAAGGUAGCAUAUAAGGGGCCUGUGAGUGUAUCCACAGGAAAAUGAAUACCUAUAAAAUGCAUCUCAAUAAAUUAAAGAAUUUGAGGCCAUAAAUAGAACAUUUUGACAUAUUAUAUUAGUAGAUGCCCACUAAUUUAAACCAAAAUGUCCCUUAAUAAUUAAAAUUCCAUGAGAUUAAUUUUUUUAUUUUGUUUCCUUCACUUCCUUUGUCUUCUUCAAGAAAAUUAGGCAGAGUCUUUUUGGGGGUAGGCUGAUAAAAUUAAUUAACUUUCCUUCCAUCCCCAAAAAGUUCCAAAUAAAUGCUUCCAAUAGACAUCAAAAAAGUGUCAAUUAGAAAUAAUUACUUCUUAUCAAUCAGUGGGGCAAUUAAAGUGACAAAGCUUAAAAAGAUACUUAUCUUAAAACUAAUUCACAAGGUAGCUAAAUUAUCUCCUAAUUAACUUACAUUGAGGAGGGUGGGGAGGAUAGACCAUCUUGAAACAAAGAUGAAUUGAUGAACCCCAAUACCUCUUUAUGUUCCUCAAAGCUGCUUCCCUUCUCUGAAAUAUUAUUUUCCACCCAGGCAGGAAAACUGGGAAGAAAACAGAUCCUUUCCAAAUGCAUUUAUUCCCCUUUUCUCAAUUCUAAAACCAAGAGGAAAGAAUGGGGCUUUAGCUCUCAGAUCAGAGAAGUUAGAGACAUUUAUUUUACCACUUGAAUGAACUAUUUUCAGUACCGGGGGAGUGGGCUGCGACAAGUUAUUUAAGGUAACUUUUAAUGACAGCCUGCUUGCUUUUACAAAACUCUCUUCCUCGUUGGUACAGUAUUGUUUUCACUUUAAUAUAUAUGUGUAACAUUUAUCAUUUCUCCCGCAUCUUUGAAUUAAAAAAAAUGUUUUUGCUUUAGAGAAUUUCGUCCCAGAUACAACAAAAAUAGCGAUUUUAAGGAACGUUCAGCCCAUCGUUGACCUGCGCAUGUUAGAAUGAUUCACGCUAAACAUUCCUUCAGAAUAAAGCUUUAGGAAAGACAAUGUUAAGGCUCUGCAAGACAAGAUCAGCCAAAGACGAGGGGAGCGUGAGCCCUGGAAGGCUGGGCGGCGGAGGCCGCGCAGGAAACUUUUCUUGAGCGUCUUGGGUUAUUGGGAAGGGUGCGCUCGGCCCCGUUCCCGCGAAAAGCUGUGUGGUUGCUUGCCUCCCAGAUUCUAGUCAAAGAAAACUUAAAAGGGAGCUCCCUAAGCACUGCCGAACUCAGAAAUGGAGGUGCCUGGGUAAAUGGGGGAAGCUGCUAAAACCUAAGAGAAAAUGGACUUGUAAAAACAAGAGAGGUCCGCUUAUGAAUUUAGCUUCAAUUAUAGACAACAGUAUCAGGUAAACGGAUCGGAAAGACAGAGGGCCUCUCCCAGAGUUUUGCCGAGGGAGCGUUCAGAAAAAGAAACAGGGGAGUGCCUUCAACAGUCUGUGCUGUUAUAGGCUAUUUUCUAGUUUUAUUAGCAUUUAAAUUAAAGUAAAGAGGAAAGUCUUAUCCUCUCUCCCUCGCCGCUUUAUUUGUUUAUUUGUUUUGGAAAUUGGGUGGGAGAAGGCCCUCUGUCUUCUGAAAAGAAAAAACGGGGAAAAAUUACCUGGCAGGUCCAGGGGCAGAGUACUCCCUCCCCAAACCCAGGCGCGAUUUGCAUCCAAGCUAAUGGGAAAGCGCUCAUCUCAUAAUCUGGGACUGAUAUUGAUUAAAACUACAGUAAAAAUAAA